GCUAAGACUGGAUAGGAAGAUAAAAGGCAUCUUUUAUCUUUUAAAAGACCUAGUAAUAGGUAUGCUUUAGGAGGGGCUUGCGCCAUAUUAGUUAGUUGGUAGGGUAAUGGCCUACCAAGACGAUGAUGUGUAGCUGGACUGAGAGGUUGAACAGCCACAUUGGGACUGAGACACGGCCCAAACUCCUACGGGAGGCAGCAGUAGGGAAUUUUCGGCAAUGGAGGAAACUCUGACCGAGCAACGCCGCGUGAAUGACGAAGUACUUCGGUAUGUAAAGUUCUUUUAUCAAGGAAGAAAAGCAAAUGGCGAACCAUUUGUUUGCCGGUACUUGAUGAAUAAGCCCCGGCUAAUUAUGUGCCAGCAGCCGCGGUAAGACAUAAGGGGCAAGUGUUAUCCGGAAUUAUUGGGCGUAAAGGGUGCGUAGGCGGUCUAGUAAGUCAGUGGUGUAAUGGCAACGCUUAACGUUGUCCGGCUAUUGAAACUGCUAAACUUGAGUUAGAUAGAGGCGAGUGGAAUUCCAUGUGUAGCGGUAAAAUGCGUAAAUAUAUGGAGGAACACCAGAGGCGUAGGCGGCUCGCUGGGUCUUAACUGACGCUGAGGCACGAAAGCGUGGGGAGCAAACAGGAUUAGAUACCCUGGUAGUCCACGCCGUAAACGAUGAGUACUAAGUGUCGGGUUAAACCGGUACUGAAGUUAACACAUUAAGUACUCCGCCUGAGUAGUACGUACGCAAGUAUGAAACUUAAAGGAAUUGACGGGACUCCGCACAAGCGGUGGAUCAUGUUGUUUAAUUCGAAGAUACCCGAAAAACCUUACCAGGUCUUGACAUGUUUUUGCAAAAUGAUAGUAAUAUCGUGGAGGUUACCAGAAACACAGGUGGUGCAUGGUUGUCGUCAGCUCGUGUCGUGAGAUGUUUAGGUUAAGUCCUAAAACGAGCGAAACCCUUAUCGUUAGUUGCCAGCACGUUUAUGGUGGGGGACUUUAACGAGACUGCCAAUGAUAAAUUGGAGGAAGGUGAGGAUCACGUCAAAUCAGCAUGCCCCUUAUGACCUGGGCUACAAACGUGAUACAAUGGCUGUUACAAAGGGUAGCUGAAACGCAAGUUCUUGGCCAAUCCCCAAAAACAGUCCCAGUCCGGAUUGAAGUCUGCAACUCGACUUCAUGAAGUUGGAAUCGCUAGUAAUCGCGAAUCAGCAUGUCGCGGUGAAUACGUUCUCGGGGUUUGUACACACCGCCCGUCA
rnacentral:rRNA from 1 species